GAUGAACGCUAGCUACAGGCUUAACACAUGCAAGUCGAGGGGUAACGAGAGGAAAGCUUGCUUUCCUUGUCGACGACCGGCGCACGGGUGAGUAACGCGUAUCCAACCUGCCCCCAACUAGGGAAUAACCUUGCGAAAGUAAGACUAAUACCCUAUAAUUUCCUCAGAUGUCAUCUGACGAGGAAUAAAGAUUUAUCGGUUGUGGAUGGGGAUGCGUCUGAUUAGCUUGUUGGCGGGGUAACGGCCCACCAAGGCAACGAUCAGUAGGGGUUCUGAGAGGAAGGUCCCCCACUGUGGAACUGAGACACGGUCCAAACUCCUACGGGAGGCAGCAGUGAGGAAUAUUGGUCAAUGGGCGGAAGCCUGAACCAGCCAAGUAGCGUGCAGGAUGACGGCCCUAUGGGUUGUAAACUGCUUUUAUACAGGAAUAAAGUUAGCCACGUGUGGUUAUUUGUAGGUACUGUAUGAAUAAGGACCGGCUAAUUCCGUGCCAGCCGCCGCAGUAA
rnacentral:rRNA from 1 species